rnacentral:rRNA from 1 species
UGACGGUACCUGCAGAAAAAGCGCCGGCUAACUACGUGCCAGCAGCCGCGGUAAUACGUAGGGCGCAAGCGUUAUCCGGAAUUAUUGGGCGUAAAGAGCUCGUAGGCGGUUUGUCGCGUCUGCUGUGAAAUCCCGAGGCUCAACCUCGGGCCUGCAGUGGGUACGGGCAGACUAGAGUGCGGUAGGAGAGAUUGGAAUUCCUGGUGUAGCGGUGGAAUGCGCAGAUAUCAGGAGGAACACCGAUGGCGAAGGCAGAUCUCUGGGCCGUAACUGACGCUGAGGAGCGAAAGGGUGGGGAGCAAACAGGCUUAGAUACCCUGGUAGUCC